UCCCUAGUGGUCUAGUGGUUAGGAUUUGGCACUUUCACAGCUGAGGCCUGGGUUCAAUCCCUUGUCAGGGAA
rnacentral:tRNA from 2 species